CAUCUUAGCCAAGGUCUUUCGGCCUUGCUCUGAACCCACGUAACACUGGAAUUUGCUAUUUAUAGACCGUGAAACAUAUCUGUAAGUAUGUCUUUGCUCUGAAUCCGCACAGCACUGAACUUUUCUAUUUAUUGAAUAUUUUUAUGCCCUUUCGUGGCCAUUGGUUCCCAUGCUGGAACGUCUCAAUAAUGGAGUUAAAUCUGUUCAUUGUAGUUUAUUAAAUGCUAAAGUUACAUAUUUUAUGUAAUUAAAUUGGUUAAUUUAUGAGAGCGCACCACUAAUUUUUUCAUGUUUAUAUUGAAUUUUGUGUAGGGAUGCAAUUUGGGGCUAAAUAGAAGAAAAAGGAAACAAUUGGGCUAGAUUGAAGAAAUAAGCAAAGAAGGAGGGCCAAAGCAGAAUUUUUCCAAGAUUAAUUAGCUGAAAUUUUUGUUGACUUAGUGGGAGAUUAUGUUGGGAUUUUUUGUAUAUCAUGGAAUAUUUUUCCUUAAUUUUCUAUGACUAGUUGGCUCCUAAUUUAGUAAAGUCACUAGUAUAAAUAGAGGCUACAUUGUUCAUUUAUUCAUCAAGCAAGAAAUCAAGCUUUCAUCCUUUUAUACAUUCUCUCCUCUCUACCAACAAAUUUAUUUGUAGUAUUUAGUUUCCUUUACUUUCAAUUCCUUUCCAGCUUGUUACCUCUUAGACCAUUUACAAUUAAUUUUUCAAACUUUCUUUUCACUCCCAGUAGCUAACCCACUUUAAUACAUCACCAAAAUUCCAGCCCCUCAUACUCGAUCACGCCACCCAUCUUUUUCACCCAUUUUUACCUUAUUUAAUUUAUCCAAUACCAACAUGCCCCAAACCUUAGCCAACUAAAUCUAUUUUCAACUUUAGGUCGGAAUUAGCCUCGUCAAGACCCGUGAGUUACGAACCCGAGCAAAUUAACUCCUAAAUUCCAAUACUUAUUCUUUCUCCGGAUUAAGAGUAUGAUUUUGUCAACUCACAAAGUCAGAUCAACAUUAAGCCAAAAAAGACUUGAUUUAGUGUGGUUAGACGUACAGUUGGAAUUCCGAAAGGAUUGAUUCUAAUCGGUUUUUUGUAAACACAUUGGCGUGCCAAGUGGAGAUUGUUGUUUGGUUCCGUCAAGGGAAGUAGUAACUGGAUUUAAAUGUCCCACGCGGUUGAGGGCAUUAGUUCGAGCUAGGCUCUUCUAGAACGCAAAGCUACCAGAGUUCUAAAUCACGAACGUUUCGUGGUUGUUCGAUCGGUAAGGGUUAGUUAUUGGACGUUCCAUAACUAAUUUGCACAAGGAAGAGUUGGUGUCCGAGGCGUCCUUGGUAGCUAUAACUAGCUUAUUGGAAAAGAGGAGUUCAUCUAAUUUCGAGGAUCGGUUUAAAGACGAGGAAAAAUCCGUGCCUAAAGCUGAGCUUAUUCUAAUUAUUUUUUCUUCAAAUUUAUUUAACUAUUUUUUAUUAGUUCAUUUUCAACUUUUACUUUUUACGCGUUUUAUUUAUUUAUUUCAGGUUCCAGGUUUUUGAUUUUAUCCUCCCCCUAAUAUCUUGGGCACGACAACUGCCCCGACAUAGAUCUGGUCAAGAGAGCAACAAUUUGCAGUAAACCCAGUCUCUGAGGGAUCGACCCUACUCCCUAUACUGCUUAAAUUGCAAAUUAGGCGUAGGUUUAUAUUGGUGGACUCGACUCCCAUCAGUAGUAAUAGUAAAUGAGUUGUAGUAUUAGUAAAUGAGCCCAAUGCUACCAUAAAUAAAUAUAUAAAAAUAGAAUGUCGUUAAUGACAAUAUAUCGCAAAGAAAAUAGAAAUAAAAAUAAAGAACACACAGAUUUUUACGUGAAAGCCUUUUCGGAAAAAAACCACGGCCAGAGUAGAAGAAAAUUCACUAUGUCGAAUUCGACUAAUUACAAUAUGAGUAAACUAUGUCUAUUUAUAAGCUUGUAAAACCAUAUUCUAAUAGGAGUGUAGUAAGAUUGAAAC
rnacentral:lncRNA from 1 species